rnacentral:sRNA from 1 species
UACUGUGAUGUGGGCUUGGGAUUAAAGGAGAGGAGAGAAUGGGCAAUGGGGGCGUUGGGAGGUGUUUGUCGGUGUGAAAGGUGUGCGUGGGAGGAGCAGGAGACAGCCUUAGCAGAAGGGUGAAUGUCUUUAGAGGGUCGAAUAUUUUCUUCUCCUUUACUCCCCCGUUCAGCCCCCCCGGGUUCAUUCCGUUUCGUGAUUCCUCUCCGUCCUGUGUUUAAAUGGAUAUUGUACUUUGUCAAUUUUCUUUCUUAUCAUGAAUAUGUAUCCAGAGCUAACUAACCAAAGUAGACAAAGAUUAGAACUCGAGGAAAGAAAUUGAUAUUGACAGGUAAUUAACACAGCGCAUACUCCUCGUCAUAUUUUCGUAAUCAUUAUCAACAGCGCUAUAGAGUCUAAUAUACAGGUAUGUCCAUCUUUCCUUCAUCCAAUAAAAAAAGAAAAUAAAUAAAAAACAACUUUUCUCUUUAUCGAGCCAUCCAGGCUCCUAUUUCCUCGGCACUCAUAUGAAACCAGGAGAAAAAUAACAGUGCAAAAUGGUGAAAACAUAUGGAGUAAAGAAAUCGAGAUAAUGAUCAAAUAAGCAAUGAUGAGGCAUUGGGCGGUACGGAUGGAGAAGAAUAGGGACCAGGGAUAAUUCGGUAAGAUAUCAACAGAACUAACUGCCUUUGAGCGAAAUCGAAAAACUGCUAGCAGAGAUUGAAAGAACGAAAAAUGAGGGAAACAAUCUGCAAGAAAAACGCUUCUAAUCAUUUGAGGAAGUUCAUUGAGCAUGAGUAACAAGUUCCUCGUACAGAUUGUCAGGAAUCUUUCGUACGAUUAAGACAGUAAGGGCGAUGAUUUCUUUGGCAUCAAGUGCCGGAA